AUCUCAAAUCAAGUAAGACUACCCGCUGAACUUAAGCAUAUCAAUAAGCGGAGGAAAAGAAACUAACAAGGAUUCCCCUAGUAACGGCGAGUGAAGCGGGAUGAGCUCAAAUUUAAAAUCUGGCUGGUUUACUAGUCCGAAUUGUAGUUUAUAGAAGCGUUUUCGGUGGCAGCCUGGGUAUAAAUCCUUUGGAAUAGGGUAUCAUAGAGGGUGAGAAUCCCGUCUUUGACUCAGUGCAUGCUACUAUGUGAUACGUUUUCAAAGAGUCGAGUUGUUUGGGAAUGCAGCUCAAAAUGGGUGGUAAAUUUCAUCUAAAGCUAAAUAUUGGCGAGAGACCGAUAGCGAACAAGUACCGUGAGGGAAAGAUGAAAAGAACUUUGAAAAGAGAGUUAAACAGUGCGUGAAAUUGUUGAAAGGGAAACGUUUGACACCAGUUAUGCGGGUGGAAAAUCAGUCUUUUGCAAUGGGGAGUUGUGGGCGUUCAGACCGCAAGGCUGGCGUUUGCUUCAUCUUUGUUGUAAGUGAUGCACUUUUUCAUUUGCAGGUCAACAUCAGUUUGCUUUGCUGGACAAAACCCCAAGGGAAGGUGGCAGCUUAGGCUGUGUUAUAGCCCUGGGGCGAUACAGUGGAGUGGACUGAGGUUUCGCAGUGUGUGCUCUCGGGCAAGGCUGACUGGGUGCUAUGGGAUCGUUCGGCGUACAAUGCAUGCAUUUUGCGUCGUGUCUUUUUCAUACUCGCUCAACUCGGCUNUCC
rnacentral:rRNA from 1 species